UGUAUCUUGAGUGGUUGUGUUUUCGCUAUCGAGCAAAAUGUCUCGGGUGUAUGAAAACAUCUUUUGUUACGCUCUGAAAGAUUUCAGAGUUUCGGAGGAUGGCCUGAUUUCAGGCUAUUGUAAUUCGUUGGAGGAGGUGGAAACACUUCUUCAUCAGCUGAAAACUGUUGGGUUUUCAUAAUGUGAGAAGUAGUCGUUUUAAAGAGCCAUCUUCAGAUGUUAUGAAAAGUAAAACAAAGCAUUUCUUCAAGCAAAUGCAGGGACAUGUCCCUAUCCCCUUUUUUGGUUGUGCAUUUGCAGUGGAGUGUGUGUGGUCGAGGCACUGUGUUUUGGGGCCAAAAUACUAAAAAAGUAGAGAGUCUAGUGUACCUGAGCACUUGGAAGACCAUGUGACUCCUCGUAAGAGAUUGAGGAUCAUGGAUACUAGAAAAUGCAACUGCCCAGCGACUUUAAAUAUGAAGUGUAUAAGGGUGUAUCCUGAUUACCACAGUAUGCACUCAGCAACUGAACACAGGGAUACCAAGGCAAAAGUUCUUGCAAGUCUACAGAAAGAUUUGGCAGUGCCAUGCCUGCCUAAGAGCUACCUACGUUAUUAUUUGACUGCUUCCCCAGCAAGUGCACAC